rnacentral:rRNA from 1 species
UGGGGAAUUUUGGACAAUGGGCGAAAGCCUGAUCCAGCAAUGCCGCGUGCGUGAAGAAGGCCUUCGGGUUGUAAAGCACUUUUGUCCGGAAAGAAAUCCUUGGCUCUAAUACAGUCGGGGGAUGACGGUACCGGAAGAAUAAGCACCGGCUAACUACGUGCCAGCAGCCGCGGUAAUACGUAGGGUGCAAGCGUUAAUCGGAAUUACUGGGCGUAAAGCGUGCGCAGGCGGUUUGCUAAGACCGAUGUGAAAUCCCCGGGCUCAACCUGGGAACUGCAUUGGUGACUGGCAGGCUAGAGUAUGGCAGAGGGGGGUAGAAUUCCACGUGUAGCAGUGAAAUGCGUAGAGAUGUGGAGGAAUACCGAUGGCGAAGGCAGCCCCCUGGGCCAAUACUGACGCUCAUGCACGAAAGCGUGGGGAGCAAACAGGAUUAGAUACCCUGGUAGUCCACGCCCUAAACGAUGUCAACUAGUUGUUGGGGAUUCAUUUCCUUAGUAACGUAGCUAACGCGUGAAGUUGACCGCCUGGGGAGUACGGUCGCAAGAUUAAAACUCAAAGGAAUUGACGGGGUCAUAGCUGUUUCCU